CAUCGCCGCGGUAAUACGUAGGGUGCAAGCGUUAUCCGGAAUGAUUGGGCGUAAAGCGUCUGUAGGUGGCUUUUCAAGUCCGCCGUCAAAUCCCAGGGCUCAACCCUGGACAGGCAGUGGAAACUACCAAGCUGGAGUACGGUAGGGGCAGAAGGAAUUUCUGGUGGAGCAGUGAAAUGUGUUGAGAUCGGAAAGAACAUCAAUGGCGAAAGCACUCUGCUGGGCCGACACUGACACUGAGAGACGAAAGCUAGGGGAGCAAAUGGGAUUAGAUACCCCAGUAGUCCCUGUCUCUUAUACA
rnacentral:rRNA from 1 species